rnacentral:rRNA from 1 species
AUUGAACGCUGGCGGCAGGCCUAACACAUGCAAGUCGAACGAGUGGCGGACGGGUGAGUAAUGUCUGGGAAACUGCCUGAUGGAGGGGGAUAACUACUGGAAACGGUAGCUAAUACCGCAUACCAUCAGAUGUGCCCAGAUGGGAUUAGCUAGUUGGUGGGGUAACGGCUCACCAAGGCCACGAUCCCUAGCUGGUCUGAGAGGAUGACCAGCCACACUGGAACUGAGACACGGUCCAGACUCCUACGGGAGGCAGCAGUAGGGAAUAUUGCACAAUGGGCGCAAGCCUGAUGCAGCCAGGCCGCGUGUAUGAAGAAGGCCUUCGGGUUGUAAAGUACUUUCAGCAGGGAGGCGUUACCCGCAGAAGAAGCACCGGCUAACUCCGUGCCAGCCGCCGCGGUAAUUC